ACAAAAAUGUGCUUUGAAUUCCGAAUACCCUGAGCUGAAUUGGAGAGUGUUUUUAUUUUAACUCUUUUAGUCAAAAAUUUGAAAUAGCUUUGCUAGUUAUAUUCAAUUUCCAGUUUGGCGAAUAACCCGGCAUCUGUUUUUAUAGGUUUGAUUCUCUUACAGUCUGUUCAUAGACGUGUUAGUUGUUACCUGGUAGUAUAUAUUUGCACUUAAAGGACACCAUAGCUCGCUGUACUGGUUACAAAAGUUCCAGUUUAUGAGCUUUUAUUCAUUUCCUGAGCUAAUCUCUGCACUGCAGUGCUGAUCGCUGUCAGUCAAGGAGUUAAACCCUGCACUGCCAUGCCUAGCUCAAUGUAAAGAGUAGGUGCGGAGUGGCCCUUAGCUGACCCUAACUAACAAGUCAAACCGCUAGUAUCAAAGUAGAACUGUCACCUGCUGUUUUAAAU